GAUGAAGAACGCAGCGAAAUGCGAUAAGUAAUGUGAAUUGCAGAAUUCAGUGAAUCAUCGAAUCUUUGAACGCACAUUGCGCCCCCUGGUAUUCCGGGGGGCAUGCCUGUUCGAGCGUCAUUUCACCACUCAAGCCUCGCUUGGUAUUGGGCAACGCGGUCCGCCGCGUGCCUCAAAUCGACCGGCUGGGUCUUCUGUCCCCUAAGAGUUGUGGAAACUAUUCGCUAAAGGGUGCUCGGGAGGCUACGCCGUAAAACAAACCCAUUUCUAAGGUUGACCUCGGAUCAGGUAGGGAUACCCGCUGAACUUAAGCAUAUCAAUAAGCGGAGGA
rnacentral:misc_RNA from 1 species